rnacentral:rRNA from 1 species
UACAGAGGGGGCAAGCGUUAUUCGGAAUUAUUGGGCGUAAAGAGCUCGUAGGCGGCUUGUCACGUCUGCUGUGAAAGUCCAGGGCUCAACCUGGAAGGCCGGUGGAAACUGUCGGGCUAGAGUCCGGAAGAGGCGAGUGGAAUUCCCGGUGUAGCGGUGAAAUGCGCAGAUAUCGGGAGGAACACCAAUGGCGAAGGCAGCUCGCUGGGACGGUACUGACGCUGAGACGCGAAAGCGUGGGGAGCAAACAGGG